rnacentral:rRNA from 1 species
GAUGAACGCUGGCGGCGUGCCUAAUACAUGCAAGUCGAGCGAACGGACGAGAAGAUUGCUUCUCUGAUGUUAGCGGCGGACGGGUGAGUAACACGUGGAUAACCUACCUAUAAGACUGGGAUAACUUCGGGAAACCGGAGCUAAUACCGGAUAAUAUUUUGAACCGCAUGGUUCAAAAGUGAAAGACGGUCUUGCUGUCACUUAUAGAUGGAUCCGCGCUGCAUUAGCUAGUUGGUAAGGUAACGGCUUACCAAGGCAACGAUGCAUAGCCGACCUGAGAGGGUGAUCGGCCACACUGGAACUGAGACACGGUCCAGACUCCUACGGGAGGCAGCAGUAGGCAAUCUUCCGCAAUGGGCGAAAGCCUGACGGAGCAACGCCGCGUGAGUGAUGAAGGUCUUCGGAUCGUAAAACUCUGUUAUUAGGGAAGAACAUAUGUGUAAGUAACUGUGCACAUCUUGACGGUACCUAAUCAGAAAGCCACGGCUAACUACGUG